rnacentral:lncRNA from 1 species
GUGGAUCCAACCCUUUCAAAAACAUAUGUUUAUGUGCUGUUGAUUUCAGAGAAUAUAUUUCAUAAUGUAGAAGACAUCAUCUGUUUUUAUUCUCCAAGACUCGGGACCCAGGUUCACAGAACAACCACUUUCUGGAGCACUGCCAAACAGACUAGGAGCAGGAGAAGAGAAUAAGAGGAAGCAGGCACUCGAUUUUGAGAAUUCUUCACAUCCCUCAAAAAUUCUACUAGUCUCUAAUAGUCUGGAC